GACGAACGCUGGCGGCGUGCUUAACACAUGCAAGUCGGGCGAUGAAGCACCUUCGGGUGUGGAAUUGGCGGCGAAACGGGUGAGGAACACGUGAGAAAUCUGCCUUCAACACUGGGAUAACUCCGGGAAACCGGGGCUAAUACCGGAUAUGAAACCUGCGGCAUCCGCGGGUUUGGAAAGUUUUUCGGUUGAAGAUGAUCUCGCGGCCUAUCAGCUUGUUGGUGAGGUAAUGGGCUCACCAAGGCGACACGGGUAGCCGGCCUGAGAGGGCGACCGGGCCACACUGGGACUGAGACACGGCCCAGACUCCUACGGGAGGCAGCAGUGGGGAAUAUUGGGCAAUGGAGGAAACUCUGACCCAGCGACGCCGCGUGCGGGAUGAAGGCCUUCGGGUUGUAAACCGCUUUCAGCAGGGAAGAAGCGAAAGUGACGGUACCUGCAGAAGAAGCACCGGCUAACUAUGUG
rnacentral:rRNA from 1 species